rnacentral:misc_RNA from 1 species
GAUGAAGAACGCAGUGAAAUGCGAUAAGUAAUGUGAAUUGCAGAAUUCAGUGAAUCAUCGAAUCUUUGAACGCAUCUUGCGCUCCUUGGUAUUCCGAGGAGCAUGCCUGAUUGAGUGUCAUUUAAAGUUCUCAACUGCAUACAUUAUCAAUGGAUGUGGCUUGGAUGUGGGGGUCAUCUUGCAGGCUUCUCUCUGAAGUUGUCUGCUCCCCUGAAAUGCAUUAGUGGUAUCUGAGCUACUUACAGAUGUGAUAAUUAUCUACAUCAAAGUAUGCUGCACACUGCUUCCUAACGAGUUUUGAAAUUUGAUGAAUUUGACCUCAAAUCAGGUAGGACUACCCGCUGAACUUAAGCAUAUCAAUAAGCGGAGGA